rnacentral:sRNA from 1 species
ACACAACUCGAUCCCCGCGACCAAGGGCUACGCCGUAUGGACAGACCAAAUCACCAUGGCAAUAUUUAAAAACUUCCCGGCCCAUGGUAGAUACACAGUGAAGAGAACUAUCGCUCUCAGCAGUGUAGUAAAGUCUGUCUUUGGCAGAAAGACACAGGCAGAGAAUAUCGGAACCGGAAAUAGGAAUUGUACGAACUGAUGUUCCGUUAAAUAACUUCACUUCAGAAUCGCAAACGACCACCAUUUUGUUGUCCACACUGCGAAUUUGGUGGCAGUGCCCCCGAAUUUUCAUAUCUUUCGCCAUUGAGAAAUCAGUGUUAUCAAUGAACUGAAUAAUCUGUUCCUCUGGUAAAGUAAGAGCCGAUUCAAGUUUUGAAAGUACCGCAAUUCCACCGGGCUUGCUUUGUAGCCGAAUUUCUUUUUCAAUUGUUCCUUUAGAUGAGUAUACAAACAAACGCGAGUUGUUUUCGUGACUGGUUAUCAGCAUAAUUCUUCCCUCUGGUAAGAAAGCAGCAUCGAUGACUUUGAGUUUGUUAACAUAAAUCGUUUUAGAGAGAUCUGCUUCUUUUACCCCAAUAAGAUCACUUGUUGAUAGAGAUAGCUGUAAGAAAUCUGAUUCUAAGCUCGAUCCUUUCGAUACGUUUUGUUCCAGAUAGCUUUCAUUUAAAUCCAUUGUUUUACUGGUAGAAGAAGCGUCCAUCUUUCUACUGCUAGAGGAUGCGUUGAAAUCGAUUCUUCUGCUACAUGGUGAUAGAUCGAGGUCAACGGACCGGAAUGACGUCACUGGCGAGGAGCGACGUGACGCCAGCGGGGUUGACGUUACGAAUGAUGUAUACGGAGUUUCAAUGUUUGGAUAUGGCGUUGUGGUGACCGAGACAUCCGCGAGGGUCGUCAGAUAGUGCUUAAAAUUGGUAGCAGGAGAAGUCAGAGCGAAACGAAAUUCUAUGCGUUUCAUGGCAACUUUCUGUUUAUGUAUAUGAUCAUCAUGUUCACGGAUUUGUUGUUUUAAUUUAACCAUUUCUAGAAAGAGCUUAUAGUCACUCCCAUACUUAACGCAGGUUUGUAAAACCUUCUGGCAGUUACUGAUCGCUUUCUCGCGAUAUUGAAGAUGUUCGACUUGUUCGUUCAUAUCCGACAGAUUUUCUUUGUAAAUGACAUCCACACUCUUCUUGCACCGUUGUUCCAGUUCGUCAAUAUGUUGGUUUACUUCCUGUCUAAAUUUAGCAAUAUCGUUCUCAAUGCGGUGAUGCUGCUGGGUGAAAUCGCUGAUGUUUUUCUGUCGAUCUUUAACGAUUUGCGUGAUUUCACAGUUUGCUUGCUUUAGUUGGUUGGUGAUGUAUGCUAUCUCACCACUGUUGCGUAUACCUUCGGCCAUGUCUUCGACAGGAAAAACGGAAGUGCAUUGCUUGUGACUCGUUGUAACGCAUAUGAUGCAACAAAGAGCUUCGUGAUGCUUGCAAAACAUCUCGAUCCGUUUAUCACGAUGCUGGACGCAAUAUUCAUCUUCAGUAAAACGCACUAGGGUGGGUUCAUCUUCAAGGUCUUUUACAUUGAACAUCCUAUGAUUCUUUAGAGCUUUGUUCGUCUUGUGGUAUUUCGAGCAGGUUUGGCAUAAGGCUUCCUGGCAUUCGCUACACCAAGACUCGGCUUUAAUCAUAUCUCCGCGAGAUUUGCAUCCGUCACAACUUUCCGACCUCUUCUGCAACUUUUGCUUUUCAAUUAAGGUGUUGAUCAUAGCGUUAUCAGGUAAAGCCCCGGCCCAUUGUUUUGGAUCUUUCUCGGAACACGUCACAAAGGUCUUGCAAACUGGACAGUUAAAUCCAUUUUUGUCUGUCGACGAGCGGUUACUAUGAUGAAAUGCUUUUUGCAUCGAUUGGAUGUAGAUGUCUAUGCAUGGUUCACAAACUGUAUGCAGGCACGGUAGAUACUUUGGACGAGUGUAAUUUUCGAAACACACCGGACAUUGCGUUACGGUGGUUUUCUCUCCUCGGCUACCGUCCAUGUCUGUUACACGCCCAAAUUUUCGUUGGAAAAUGACAGGUUUUACCGUAUCACCUCGUCAAAAAUUCGUUUUCUGUUCCUUUUGUUAUUUUUUUUUUACUUGCUGAUCGGGGUUUUGUAUUUCUCAUUAAAAUGUUUGUUUGAAGUG